rnacentral:piRNA from 1 species
UGGAAUGUUUGUUGUAGCUCCUGGU